GGAGUUGGUCAGGCAGUCGCUGCGUGCAAUUGCACGGAGAGGAAAGUCCGGGCUCCGCAGAGCAGGAUGCCGGCUAACGGCCGGACGCCGCGAGGCGAGGAACAGGGCCACAGAGACGAGUCUUUGUGACUGCCGUGAAAGCGGCUGCGUCACAAAGGGUGAAACGCGGUAACCUCCAUCCGGAGCAACACCAAAUAGGCAGACGAUGACGCGGCUCGCCGAGUCUGCGGGUAGGUGGCUUGAAUCCGCCAGCAAUGACGGGUCUAGAGGAAUGGCUGUCCUGGGGGAAUCCCCAACAGAACCCGGCUUAUAGACCAACUCCCCAU
rnacentral:RNase_P_RNA from 1 species